rnacentral:rRNA from 1 species
CGGUGAAGUGUUCUGAUCGCGGCGACGUGGGCGGUUCGCCGCCGGCGACGUCGCGAGAAGUCCACUGAACCUUAUCAUUUAGAGGAAGGAGAAGUCG